AUCUGUUGUGGGCGCAGGAGAUUUGCGAGGCCCCGACACUAGUACGAGAGGACCGUGUCGGACAGACCACCGGUGUGCCGGUUGUUCCGCCAGGAGCACCGCCGGGUAGCCGCGUCUGGCCAGGAUAAGUGCUGAAAGCAUCUAAGCACGAAGCCCCCCUCAAGAUAAGAUCUCCACAUAAGGGUCGUCGAAGACUACGACGUCGAUAGGUUGCAGGUGUAAAGGCGGUAACGUCAUAGCCGAGCAAUACUAAUCACCCAAACCCUUUCCGGG
rnacentral:rRNA from 1 species